GUUACACGCCGGACUUCCAUCAGGCGGCAAAAGUGCCUUCACGACAGCGUCUUUAACUGCACUGAGCAAAUCAAGGUCAAAUAAAAGUGGGUCAGCAAAGAACAUGACAGCCCCAGCCCAGUAAGGGAAACUUCCGUGGUGCGCUGUAGGCUCAAAGCUACAUCUCAGCCUCACAGGGGUCUGACUCCACUGCAUUUGGAGGAUCUGCGUCCAAGAGACUCUUCCUUACCAGGUGCAACACUCAAUCGCAUCUUGUCUUCUGGCAGGAGUCCAGACAUGGGCUGGGUUCCGUGUGCAAGCUGCGGCACAGCCGUGAGCACCACGCCUCCAAGGGCGCAUAAGAACACAGUCACCAGCCCAGGGUGCACACAAACCCCCAAGCAUCGCUUGGCUCCAGAGAAGGAAAAGAGCACCGGUCGCAGCAUGUUGUGCCUGCCUCAGAGCUAAAGAAAAGAUGCUUUUCUUCUGCCUUCUUAAAAAAGACCAUGAAGGCCCCAACAAGGGUGGGCAAAUGGUCCAGCCCGAUUAGACUACUCCACUCCCUGGCUGCAAUGACAGGCACAACAUCCAACCUAAGCCAGGCAGAGACUUGCUCUAGAACUAACAUAUAGAUGCAGAGAAAGGAGUUGUCCCUUCACUGCAAUUGCUGGACUGGGUCUGUCAGCAGUGGUGCCCCCACGAGGAGCACGGUCCAUCUGCAGUAGGAAAGACCGAUGCCAA